UAUUUCAUGUUGAAAUUUUGUUUCAUGGUUUGAUUUAAAAGCAAAAAACUUGCGUAUUUUCUUAGAUGUAGUGUAAUAUAGAAAUGGUGAGAGUUGUUCUUAGAAAAACCAUUGUUUUAUUCUCUUGGAAAAAACCUUUGAAAUAUUUACCACUGUUUAGUGGAGAAGAAAUUUGACAAAGUUGUCUGAUGUAAAAAUGACACAUACAAAGUUAGGGAUAUGAUAAUGUUUCACGUUUGUACAUUAUAUUCUAGUUUUAAAAACCCUUCCAUAUUGCAUUUGGUCCUCCCAAAAGAAUUCCGUGAGGUAAAUGUUUAUUCUCAGACAUGGGUGAAACACCUCUGAUGUUCCAGACUUUCCAGUGGCUUCUCAUCUUGUUAAGAGGAGAAGCCCACAUCCACUACAGUAGCCUGAUUGCCCCACAGGACCUUGACCCAGCUGCCCUUAGCCACCCUUUGUUGACCUUGUUUUCCAACUGCUUUCCUCCUCCCCUUCUGUGACUCUGCAUCAGCUUAUUCCUCAAAAAGCCAGGCAGGUUCCUACCUCAGGGUCUUUGCUCAUGCUCUUCCUUUUUGAGGAACCCUGAUAUUUACAGGCUUUCUUCCUCAUUUCCUUCAUGUCUUUGUCCAAGUGUUCUUUUACAAUGCGACCUUCCCUGACCACGCUUUGAAACCUUCCUGCAUUAUUUUUUUCUAUAAUGCACAUCACUGUUUGACGUACUGUAUUUUAAAAUUCGUUUGUUUGUUUCUGUAUAUUUCUGUGUACCUCUCACCACAGAGCUUGGAACAUAAGCUCCAUCAUGACAAGGCUUUGUUCACUGCUGUAUGUCCAACACCUAGAAGAUUGCUUGGUACUUAAUAUGUGUUAGAUGAUUGAUUUUUACUGAUAAGCAAAUUGAAAUUCAGUCAACUUGAGUAACUUGCUCAGGCCUAUAUCUAUAAUAUAAUAAAUCAACAGUCCUCUGUCUCCAAAGCUCAUGACUUUUCACUAGAAUACCCUACCUUUUAAAAUAUACGUAAGAACCUAAAUCUAAAUCAUGUUUUUACUUUAUAAAGUACAAUUAGCCCUUUUCAUUUUAAUGAUUUUCCCUCGAGCCAUCAUUCCACCUUUGAUGCUUUAAAAGCCAAUAUACAAUUGGAGUGGGCAUUCUCCUCCCCAGUGGUGUCACUGUCUUUCUUAAAAAGCCCACUGGUGGGCCAGGCACAGUGGUUCAUGCCCGUAAUCCCAGCACUUUGGGAGGCCGAGAUCGGGUGACUGCUUGAGCCCAGGAGUUCGAGACCGGGUGACUGCUUAAGCCCAGGAGUUGGAGACCAGCCUGGGCAACAUAGCAAAACCCCAUCUCUACAAAAAUUACAAAGAUUAGCCAGGCAUGGUGGUGUGCACCUGUAGUCAGAGCUACUUGGGGGCUGAGGUGGGAGGAUCACUUGAGUCAAGGGAGUUGAGGCAGCAGUGAGCCAUGAUCGUGCCACUGCACUCCAGCCUGGGCAACAGGGCAAGCAAGACCCUGUUUCAAAAAACAAAACAAAAAAACAAAAAAACCCAAGCAGUCUUUUGUAAAUGGCUAAAAAAUAAAGACAACAUUCACUAAUUGUUCAGUUGUUUUUUAAAAGAAAGCUAGUAAUUGUACCUACUCUUGUUCUUUAUAGAUUAAAAAUGGCUACGCUUUUCUCUGCCUUUUUUUUUUUUUGCAUUUUGUAUUUUGCAGUAGGAAUCCAUUGAAGUCUGAUGAAGAUAGUAGGGCUUUAUUGUACCAUUUUUUUUAAAGCUAAAAGUAUAUAAAAGUGGAAAAAAAAUAGGACUGGGCGUGGUGGCUCAUGCCUGUAGUCACACCAGUUUGGGAGGCUGAGACAGGUGGAUCACCUGAGGACAGGAGUUUGAGACCAACCUGGCCAACAUGGUGAAACCUUAUCUCUACUGAAAAUACAAAAAAAAAUUAGCCAGGUAUGGUGGUGGACACCUGUAAUCCCAGCUAUUUGGGAGACUGAAGCAGGAGAAUCACUCGAGCCCAGGAGGUAGAGGUUGCAGUGAGCCGAGAUUGUGCCAUUGCACUCCAGCCUGGGCAACAAGAGGGAGACUCCAUCUUUAAAAAAAAAAAAAAAGAAAAAAGAAAAGAAAGUUGUUAACUGUUCUGUUACAUUGAACCAAGUUUUAGAAAAUUUGGCAUAAUUUUUUUUUCUUGGUAUCAUGUAUCAUAAAUGCCAGUAAUCCCCAGGAUUAGCAACACAAAACUAAACCUCUCCACAUUGUCUUUCCUGAGUGGUGUUUUCUUUGGUGAUUGCUUCCCUCCCCCACCUUCAUUUUCAGAAGGACCAAAAUAGUGACAUCUGCACUGAGUUAUUGUAGUAUAAAACAGCUCAGAGGAUCUAAAACUAAAAUUGCUUUUUAGAUAUGAAUGAAAAAUUUUUUAUAAGUCAUUGGGAGAUCCUUGCUUUUGCCUAAUAUGGUAAAGGUAGUUGUCAAAAGUACAUAUAUAUUUUAUAGUUUACAGAAAAAACGAAUACCCUGCAUUCUGCCUGGAAAUCUUCUACCCAGCAGUUUUACUUAGCUUCAAAACGAUUUAUAGUUGACCUUCAUAAUCACAGAUGCCCAACAGUAUUUGUCCAUAUCUCUCUUAUGAAUAACAUUCUGCUUGAAGUCUGGUUGUUUGUGUAUUUGUCUUAUCUCUCCUACAGAUUGCUGAGUCCUCAAAAUAGGAACAAGAACUUACUCAUGUCUGUAUCUUCCACAGGACUCAUGUUUUAUAGGUACCCUUUGAUCUUUCCUACUCAAGCAGCCUGGACCCUGGUCCAUUAAAGUAUUUCCACGAUUGAACCAUCUAUUCCUGAACCAAGUAGGAGAGUUUCUACUUUGAAUUCUCCCUCUGCAUUUUAGAAAUUAGGGGAAUUCUGUCCUUAUUGUAGAUCACUUAUGGAUUAUUAGAUGGCACGUUUGUCAUGAUGUCUAUCCCUGUGUGAUUGUGUUACAAUAAAAAUCAAAUCAACACAAA